UGGCAGUGUGGUUAGCUGGUUGA
rnacentral:ncRNA from 2 species